AUUGAACGCUGGCGGCAGGCCUAACACAUGCAAGUCGAGCGAGCGGCGGACGGGUGAGUAAUGUCUGGGAAACUGCCUGAUGGAGGGGGAUAACUACUGGAAACGGUAGCUAAUACCGCAUACCAUCAGAUGUGCCCACAUGGGAUUAGCUAGUAGGUGGGGUAACGUCUCACCUAGGCGACGAUCCCUAGCUGGUCUGAGAGGAUGACCAGCCACCCUGGAAAUGAGACACGGUCCAGACUCCUACGGGAGGCAGCUGUGGAACAUAUUGCACAAUGGGCGAAAGCCUAUUACAGCCAUGCCGCGUGUGUGAAGAAGGCCUUCGGGUUGUAAAGCACUUUCAGCGGGGAUGCGUUACCCGCAGAAGAAGCACCGGCUAACUCCGUGCCAGCAGCCGCGGUAAUUC
rnacentral:rRNA from 1 species